CUAACCCAUUUCCAGUGUUUAAUCAAGACUUACUGAAAGAGGCUGGGACACAGUCUUGAGCUAUGUGGUAUGACACAUACAUUGUGUAACUGGAGCUGUGGUGGUGCUUUGCUAUUGGCUCAAUUUCGGCAAGUGCAGAUAAGAAUUUAUGUUCUUAUCAAGGUCAUCUCAUGACUGACACGCUGUGCAGAUGUCAGGGUAGCGAGCUAGAGAGGGACCUACUGAAGAUUGGAUGCAAUCCAAUGAAAAUGAGCCGCACCCACGCACAGAUAAUAACUGCAUUCAUUCAGUCUGACUUUCAUAAAAAACAUGUCUGAACUUGUACUGCUGCUACAAAGCCUGACAGGUACCAGGUGUAAAAUGUUUCAUUACUUACUUACUUAGUCCUUGUUAUGCCUGGUGGCACAUAGGGCAAAGACUAAAGAUCUCCACUCAUCUCUGUUGUUUGCUUUCUUCUCAAUGCUGUUCCAGCUGGAUCCUCUCGUCUUCAUCUCUCCUUCGAUGGUUCGCCUCCAUGUUGUUUUGGGCCUCCCUCUUUUGUGUUUACCCUCUGGUGUCCAACACAAUGCCACUUUUGUCAUGUCAUCAGAUGGUUUCCUUAAUAAAUGUCCAAGCCAUCUCCAUCUUCUCCUUAUCAAUAUUGUUUCCAUGUCCAAGCACCCUGUCAUUUUGUGUAGUUCAUGGUUUGUAAUCUUCCUAGGCCAGAAUACCCUCAUGAUCUUUCUGAGGCGGGUAUUGUGAAAGCUGGAAAGCUUCCCUAUGUCUCUCUCAGUCAUUCUCCAGCACUCAUUACCAUAUAAAAGGACAGAUAGUACACAGCUGUUGUAUAACUUUAUCUUGGUGUUUCUAGUUAUGUGUGUCGACUUCCAGAUGUUUCCAAGUCUUAGAAAUGCUGUCCUUGCUUUUCCUAAUCUGGCCAUAAUGUCUUGGUCAGCUCCACCAUCUGAUGUUACCCGGCUUCCGAAGUACUGUAUGUGAAAGAUGACGUCAGUUAUUGUCCAUUUAGCUCUAUGACAGGUUGUUCUUUCAUUUUGAGGGGCAUGACUUAUUUUUUCUUGAUGUUAAUCUUAAAUCCCAGCAUGCUUGCAUUCUUCUGUAGUCUAGAUGUUCUGUCUUGCAUGUGACUUGGUAGAUGUGAUAGGAGAGCAAGGUCGUCAGCAUAGUCUAAGUCCUCUAAGUUGGAAAAGAGGGUCCAUCUGAUGCCAGUGUUUGAGUUGUUUAGGGUUGUUCAGUUAAAAUGUUUCAUAUUGAUGGUUAAUUAAAUGAACAGAAACAGCCAUUUGAAAGAUAACAUCUGAUCCAAUAUGUUAGUAAGCAUGUUUUUUUAUGUAUGUGAUUCAGUGGUGGCUGGUGACUCAAAAAAUCGAGGAGGGCAGGAGGAAAACAAACCCACAGUGUCAUGUCAUUUUAUUAAGUUAUUUCUCGUAUUUUGCACUUGCAUCUCCAUUCUAUGUAUGGGCUCAGUGCUGCUUGAUAUUUAUUUAUUUUCCUUUAUUUAACCAGGUUAGUCCCAUUGAGAUCACAGAUCACUUUUACAAGGAAGACCUGGCCAAGAUAGCAGCAAGACAGUUAUAGUGAAAGUAACAGACCACACAUAGAUUAACAACAUUAUAAAACUUGCUCAUACAAAACACUUGCACACAGACAACCUGGA